CAAAGCCGGACGCUAUGAUGUUUAUCACCUUCUUGUGUCAGAGGGAGCUGAUGUGUCAAUUACAGGUAACAUGGGCAGAGACUGUCUGAUGUAUGCAUGUGAGAGAGGUAACAUGUCUAUAGUUAGACAUCUACUAUCUUU